ACAAGAAAACGUUUGACAGAUCUAAAAAUGCCAUUGCAAUUCAUCUAAAGGAGUUCACCAUAUGUUUUUAUUUCGUGAUUGAAUACAAAUUGAAAUGCUGUAGCCCCGCGAAUAUACCUUGAUAUCACUUUCAAUUUUGCUCAAAAAAUAUAACAAACCGUUAGUUGAUAAUGUAAGAAGGAAUAUAUUUCAAAAUAAUGUCUACGUCAUCUACUGACAACUUGCAAAAAUGAACAUUCAUCACCGCUUAAAAAAACACAAUUGUUUGGAGUAAAGACAUCAUAAAUUCUACAAUUUGUAUUUUGGAUGGUCGUUGCUUCCUAUCUUCAGGCGCAUAUGGCCAAUGCUCCUCCUGUUACAUAACUGGCUAUUACAUAACAAAAGCUUCGUCGGGGGAUAAAGACUGUCUUGCAGCUUGCAAGCCUGUGUCCGGAAUGGUGUGCUACUGAGGUUGGAGGUCUACUGUUCUUGGCUACAAAAAGAGUUUUCUGGAACCUUGCCAGUUUCCAUUGCGACCCAAAUUUCUCUUUUCAAGAAACUGUAACAAUUCUUCACAACAUGAAUGAGAUAUUGUUGGCACGUUUGGUCGACAAGAAAGGCUUCAGUUGAAUAUCUCUUUGAAACUUUGUUACACUCUGUACCUAUAUUUUUUGAAUGAGAGAUUCUGUUUCUUGGAAAA